UCCUCGAGUUAGGAGCCGAUCAGCCGGCGGA
rnacentral:sRNA from 1 species